rnacentral:RNase_P_RNA from 2 species
GGACCGGGACAGGCAAUCGCCGAGCACAUAACUUGUUAUGUGCUUCGGAGGAAAGUCCGAACACGCCCGAGCACAUAACAUUCGUUAUAUACUCGGAGACAGGUAGUGGGUAACGCCCGCACGCCGCGAGGCGCGAGGUGCGAACAGAAACGACCCGGUUAAGUCCGGCUGAAACGGCAAAAUCCUUACCUGCGUGCAAGGCCGUGCCGAAGCACAUAACUUAGUUAUGCGCUCGGAGCGCCGCUCGAGCCCGAGAGCAAUCGAGGGCCCAGAUAGAUGAUUGCCACCCUCCUUCGGAGGGGACAGAAUUCGGCUUACCGUCCCGGUCCCGAC